UAGGGAAUUUUCCACAAUGGGCGAGAGCCUGAUGGAGCAACGCCGCGUGCUAGAUGAAGGCCUUCGGGUCGUAAAUAGCUUUUCUCUGUGACGAAUAUGACGGUAGCAGAGGAAUAAGGGUCGGCUAACUACGUGCCAGCAGCCGCGGUCAUACGUAGGACCCAAGCGUUAUCCGGAUUUACUGGGCGUAAAGAGUUGCGUAGGUGGCAUGUUAAGCAAAUAGUGAAAUCGUGUGGCUCAACCAUACAUACAUUAUUUGAACUGGCAAGCUUGAGAGUGAGAGAGGUUACUAGAAUUCCUAGUGUAGGAGUGAAAUCCGUAGAUAUUAGGAGGAAUACCGAUGGCGUAGGCAGGUAACUGGCUCAUUUCUGACACUAAGGCACGAAAGCGUGGGGAGCAAACGGGAUUAGAUACCCGUGUAGUCC
rnacentral:rRNA from 1 species